UUCUAGCUAAUUCAAGGGAGUGCCUGGUGGUUUGGAACAAUCAUUUUGAAAUUUCUGACAUCUAAAAUCUUAGGCGUUUCAGACCACAUUCGCCUGAGUGAUCUUAUAGCAGCCAAAAUCUUAAGUUAUACAGAUUUUGAUACUUUAAUGUACACCUGUGCUCCUGAAUUUGACUUCAUGGAAAAAGCGACUCUGCUGAGAUACACAAAGACAUUAUUGCUUCCAGUUGUUAUGGUGAUUACAUGUGUUAUCUUUAAAAAGUUCCCUGGUGACCACGUGGAAAGAGUCAAGAUAAAGGAAACAGGGAGGAAUGAGUAAAAUGUGAGCAGGUUUACUGCCCUGAAUCCUUUCGGCCCAUGCUGGCUUAGAAUGAAGAUUUUCU